AAUAGAUACCCGGGUAGUCCAUGCCGUAAACGUUGGGCACUAGGUGUGGGGCUCAUUCCACGAGUUCCGUGCCGCAGCAAACGCAUUAAGUGCCCCGCCUGGGGAGUACGGCCGCAAGGCUAAAACUCAAAGGAAUUGACGGGGGCCCGCACAAGCGGCGGAGCAUGCGGAUUAAUUCGAUGCAACGCGAAGAACCUUACCAAGGCUUGACAUGCACGGGAAGCCACCAGAGAUGGUGGUCUCUUUGGACACUCGUGCACAGGUGGUGCAUGGUUGUCGUCAGCUCGUGUCGUGAGAUGUUGGGUUAAGUCCCGCAACGAGCGCAACCCUCGUCCCAUGUUGCCAGCGGGUUAUGCCGGGGACUCAUGGGAGACUGCCGGGGUCAACUCGGAGGAAGGUGGGGAUGACGUCAAAUCAUCAUGCCCCUUAUGUCUUGGGCUUCACGCAUGCUACAAUGGCCGGUACAAAGGGCUGCGAUACCGUAAGGUGAGCGAAUCCCAAAAAGCCGGUCUCAGUUCGGAUUGGGU
rnacentral:rRNA from 1 species